UAUUGUCAAGUACUUCAAUCACUCUAAUAGUGUACUUUCAUCAUUGAACUCAAGACUUGAUGUUAUUCAAGUGUGAGUUGAGUUUCCACCAUUGGUGAUCAAUUAGAUAUGGGCUUGUACCACAUCCCUAAUGAUGUCUUCAAUGACUUAACCAUCAUCUCCGAAAAUAUCAUAUCUUUGUCAAUCCUUUCGUCAAAGAAUUGCAAGAUUUUCC
rnacentral:lncRNA from 1 species